rnacentral:piRNA from 2 species
UGCUAUACAGAGAAACCCUGUCUCCA